UGGCAAUUUAGGGAUUUCACCCCUGCUUUAACUCAUUGUCGUUCUUGAACAUCAAUCGCCAUGGUUCAAUGCGACCUUUCGGUACCUGUCACUCGUCAGUUCCCAUCUCCCCUAUAACCUAAUGUUCGAUUCUUAAAGCUUCCAUCAAUGGCGAUGAAUCCCAUCUCCCCUCUGGCUUGUUUUUCGUUUCUUACCUCAAUCAACCAGAUCUUGUGAGAUGGAUAGAAUGUUCAAAAAUCUAGGGUUCAAUGUCAGAAUUGCAAGGUGAAAACGAAGAUUACAAUUGAUUUGAGAUCCUCCCACGAAGAUUCACAAAUAGAUUUGAUUACAAGACCCUAAAAUCGUUCAAGGUAUGUGAAUUCUGAUUCUUUUGUGUCUCUUGUGUUUCCCUUUUUUCAUAUGAUUAUAUGUCUAGGGUUUGUUAUUUGUUAAUUUGUUCCCCUGGUAUAACGAUUGUUGACAAUUCUGUUUGUUGCAUCCAAGUGAAGCUGGAUGAAAUUGUGUUUAAAGUUAGUUAAAUUUAUGAAUUGUUAUUGAUCUUGAUGUUGAAAGUUGGGGCCAUUUGGAAUCGCAUUGAUUUGACUUGCUGUAGUCAGAGUAGACUUUGAUCCAUUCAAGUGAUAAAACUGCUACUGGAUUUGCCAUGUAGACCAGACACCAAACUACCAGGGUUGGUGACGAUGGGCUUUAAGGUAAAACCGAUGGCGCACUACUCUUGGAGAGAAUAAUGAUGAAAAAUGUUGAGGUAAUCACAUGAUAACCAUUGAUUUGUUUUUGGUAGGAUGAAAAAUGUUGAGGUAAUCACAUGGUAAAACCGAUGGCGCACUACUCUUGGAGUGUACAUAUUUCAGUACUAAAAUCACAAGUUUACACAUUCUUAUAGUGGUUUAAUCCAUGUCUUUGACCGGUAUUGUUAUAGUUUGAAGCAAAGUUGGGUAAUCGGAGAUGAUACAAUAAAUGAAACUGCAUCUUUAUAAGUUUUUGUUUGUUGGUUGCAUGAUUAUUCUUUGUUUAGUUUAUUGUUUUAAUGUUUUUCUUGUUCAUGGUUUAUAAACUAUGCAAGCACUCCUUUAUAGUUUUAACUCUCUGUAACAAGUUUCAUAUCAUAAUUUAUGUCUUCACUAAUCAGUUUCCAUAAUUUAACUUCAUCUUACAUUUACAAGCCGGUUUUCAUUUCUAUGAUCAAAGGUUAGUACAUCUUCAUUAUUUGGGAUGGUUUCACUCGCAGUACUUGAUGUACCUCCACACCGCUGAUGACGGAUGUCCCGUCUCGACUGGACCAGUACGAGGUUUGGUAUGCUGGACCAGUAGUAGGAGGUUUAGUGUGCUGUUUUACAGGUUUGAGUGUGGAAUGAAAUCUGUCCAAAAACACUUCAUAUAUAACGUUAAAAACAAAGAUCGAAAGGUAGGAAAGAGUGGAAUAACGCCGGUGUCCGGCGAGAGGAAGGUGUAAAGUGGGCAUUUCGUUGUAGAGUGCUUUUUUUUGACGUAUUGAAUUUGGCAGAAACUACACACGAAAGGGUAUAAAAGACACCCCCAAGUCCAAAAAUUUAAGAAGAUGGUCUGCUGCUGCAAUACUUUCAAAAAAGAAGGCUUUGCUACUUGUCAGAAAACUUAAAAAUUCCUUGCAUGCAAACAGCAAAUUGCAUAGGAUUUUAUAUUGAUUUGUUGUUUUUGAGUGGCAUGGAAAGAUGUUCGUGGCAUCAUCUACUUGAAUGAACUUCAAGUAUCAAAUUCUCAUCUUCUUUCUUUAUUUUGUUUAUGAUUUACUGAAUUUUAUAUGUGAUUACUUUAUGAGCAGACACGUACUUAUCUUGCUAUUGAGGCAAAAUAUGAGAUGGAAAUUUGAUAGUCCGUAUAAUUUUCUGUGAUAUAAGCUGGGACACCCACCGCAACGCGCGGGCAUUCUCAUUUAUAAUAAUAAUAUCCAAAUAUAAUGAAUAUUUAAGGCAUGCCGGGAUAGAUUCUGAUAUCCAAAAGAGACUUGGUGUUACCCGCCGCAUCGCGUGGGCCAACCCACUAUACUAUAUAAUACAUUUCCUAUGUACUACUGAAACGUAAUUUUCCCUUGAAAUUUUAAGAUGGCAGACGAAGAGUCAAGCCUUCGAAUAUGCAAGAAACGUAAUCUUAACCGGAUCCAGAGGUUCUUUCAGGUGCAGGGCUGGCUUGUUGAAUAACUUGAAGACGUUUAGGUCGCCGCUGACGCCUUAAAACAUCCGAACCGGCCGGAUAGAAUACCAUGCUCUAAGAUCACAUGGCCUCCUAUUGAUUUUGGCAAGUAUGUAACACAUUUAGAUGGAUGAUUGCAUUUUUUUACAUUGUAAUAUCAGUUUCCACUAUUGUUGUUGAUAAUAAAAGGGUUGUAUUUGUAUCUUAACUUUAUCGCUUGCAAAUUGUCACCCCCGCAGCAACGCGCG